CGCGAGGGGAGCGGCAGACGGGUGAGUAACGCGUGGGAACAUACCCUCCGGUUCGGAAUAACUCAGGGAAACUUGAGCUAAUACCGGAUACGGCUGAGAGGCGAAAGAUUUAUCGCCGGAGGAUUGGCCCGCGUCCGAUUAGCUAGUUGGUGUGGUAAUGGCGCACCAAGGCGACGAUCGGUAGCUGGUCUGAGAGGAUGAUCAGCCACAUUGGGACUGAGACACGGCCCAAACUCCUACGGGAGGCAGCAGUGGGGAAUAUUGGACAAUGGGCGCAAGCCUGAUCCAGCCAUGCCGCGUGAGUGAUGACGGCCUUAGGG
rnacentral:rRNA from 1 species